UAACACAUGCAAGUCGAGGGACCGGCGCACGGGUGAGUAACACGUAUCCAACCUGCCUCAUACUCGGGGAUAGCCUUUCGAAAGAAAGAUUAAUAUCCGAUAGUAUGAGAUGGGGAUGCGUUCCAUUAGUUUGUUGGCGGGGUAACGGCCCACCAAGACUACGAUGGAUAGGGGUUCUGAGAGGAAGGUCCCCCACAUUGGAACUGAGACACGGUCCAAACUCUACGGGAGGCAGCAGUGAGGAAUAUUGGUCAAUGGACGCGAGUCUGAACCAGCCAAGUAGCGUGAAGGAUGACUGCCUAUGGGUUGUAAACUUCUUUUAUAUGGGAAUAUGUACCAUAUGAAUAAGGAUCGGCUAACUCCGUGCCAGCAGCCGCGGUAAUACGGAGGAUCCGAGCGUUAUCCGGAUUUAUUGGGUUUAAAGGGAGCGUAGGCGGAUUGUUAAGUCAGUUGUGAAAGUUUGCGGCUCAACCGUAAAAUUGCAGUUGAUACUGGCAGUCUUGAGUGCAGUAGAGGUGGGCGGAAUUCGUGGUGUAGCGGUGAAAUGCUUAGAUAUCACGAAGAACUCCGAUUGC
rnacentral:rRNA from 1 species